AUUGAACGCUGGCGGCAGGCCUAACACAUGCAAGUCGAACGAGUGGCGGACGGGUGAGUAAUGUCUGGGAAACUGCCUGAUGGAGGGGGAUAACUACUGGAAACGGUAGCUAAUACCGCAUACCAUCGGAUGUGCCCAGAUGGGAUUAGCUAGUAGGUGGGGUAAAGGCUCACCUAGGCGACGAUCCCUAGCUGGUCUGCGAGGAUGACAGGAACACAUGGAACGGAGACAGGGCCCAGACUCCGACGGGAGGCAGCAGUGGGGAAUAUGUAACAAUGGGCGAAAGCCUGAUGCAGCCAUGCCGCGUGUAUGAAGAAGGCCUUCGGGUGGUAAGUUACUUUCAGCGGGGAGGCGUUACCCGCAGAAGAAGCACCGGCUAACUCCGUGCCAGCAGCCGCGGUAAUUC
rnacentral:rRNA from 1 species